rnacentral:piRNA from 1 species
UGGCUCUUCAGAAACCCAUUGGAAAGGAG